CAUCACAGCACGUCUCGUACCCCGAAACCCCGAAAAGUCACUGAACUCCUCUAUCUUCUUCUUCUUCUUCAUCAUCCUCUUUUCCUCUUCCUCUCUUCACAUGAGGAAGAAAGAGGCCAGAAAACUAGACAGAUUCAAAGCAAGAGCAAGCCAGUGCUAAUCAAUUUUCGGUUUUUUUUUCUCUUUUUCAAAUUAUUUCAUUUCUCUGUCUCUUUGUUCUCUCUCUCUCUCUCUCUCUCUCU
rnacentral:misc_RNA from 1 species